rnacentral:rRNA from 1 species
UACAGAGGUCUCAAGCGUUGUUCGGAUUCAUUGGGCGUAAAGGGUGCGUAGGUGGCGAGGUUAGUCAGGUGUGAAAUCUCGGGGCUCAACCCCGAAACUGCACUUGAUACUGCCUUGCUAGAGUACUGGAGAGGAGAUUGGAAUUUACGGUGUAGCAGUGAAAUGCGUAGAUAUCGUAAGGAAGACCAGUGGCGAAGGCGAAUCUCUGGACAGUUACUGACACUGAGGCACGAAGGCUAGGGGAGCAAACGGG